AUUGAACGCUGGCGGCAGGCCUAACACAUGCAAGUCGAGCGGUAACAGGGGGCAGCUUGCUUCUCUGCUGACGAGCGGCGGACGGGUGAGUAAUGUCUGGGGAUCUGCCUGAGGGAGGGGGAUAACCACUGGAAACGGUGGCUAAUUCCGCAUAACGGCGCAAGACCAAAGUGGGGGACCGCAAGGCCUCACGCCCUGAGAUAAACCCAGGUGGGAAUAGGUAGUAGGAGGGGUAACGGCUCACCUAGGCGCCGAUCUCUAGCUGGUCUGAGAGGAUGACCAGCCACACUGGGACUGAGACACGGCCCAGACUCCUACGGGAGGCAGCAGUGGGGAAUAUUGCACAAUGGGCGCAAGCCUGAUGCAGCCAUGCCGCGUGUGUGAAGAAGGCCUUCGGGUUGUAAAGCACUUUCAGUGAGGAGGAAGGGUGGAGCGUUAAUAGCGUUUUCUUUUGACGUUACUCACAGAAGAAGCACCGGCUAACUCCGUGCCAGCCGCCGCCGUAACAC
rnacentral:rRNA from 1 species